rnacentral:rRNA from 1 species
CCUACGGGAGGCAGCAGUGAGGAAUAUUGGUCAAUGGACGAGAGUCUGAACCAGCCAAGUAGCGUGAAGGAUGACGGCCCUAUGGGUUGUAAACUUCGUGUAUAAAGGAAUAAAAUGAGGCACGUGUGCCUUUUUGCAUGUACUGUAUGAAUAAGGACAGGCUAACUCCGUGCCAGCAGCCGCGGUAAUACGGAGGUCCCGGGCGUUAUCCGGAUUUCUUGGGUUUACAGGGAGCGUAGCUGGGUUUUUAAGUCAGUUGGGAUCGUGUGCGGCUCUACCGUGAAAUUGCACUUGAUACUGGCAGUCUUGAGUACAGUUUAGGUAGGCGGAAUUCGUGGUGUAGCGGUG